UACGAAGGGGGCUAGCGUUGUUCGGAAUCACUGGGCGUAAAGGGCGCGUAGGCGGCUUUAUAAGUCGGGGGUGAAAUCCUGGAGCUCAACUCCAGAACUGCCUUCGAUACUGGCGAUCUUGAGUCCGGAAGGGGUGAGUGGAACUCCUAGUGUAGAGGUGGAAUUCGUAGAUAUUAGGAAGAACACCAGUGGCGAAGGCGGCUCACUGGUCCGGUACUGACGCUGAGGUGCGAAAGCGUGGGGAGCAAACAGG
rnacentral:rRNA from 1 species